GCUAGCGGCGAUAGAACGUUAAAUACACCAGUUCCCAAUGCAUCACUGGAGUUAAGCAACGUUACGCGUGGUUUAUAUCCAAAUGGGUAAUCGCGUGAUGCUUUUC
rnacentral:rRNA from 1 species